AUUGCUGUCUGGAUUGUAAAAGGUUAGCUCUCCAACUUUGACCGAGGAAAAUGACAAGCAAUUAAUUAAUAAGGCUGGAGGCUUCGGAGAAAUAAAGCAACCUACUAUAUAUAAUGCAUUGUUCAUACAUGUUUUCACAAGAAGGCAUCGAUCAUGAGGCUUGGGGCAGAUCAGCGACACCUCCUUCGUGGUUUUCUGUUAUUGAUUACCCUGUUUCUUGCAUGGAGCAUGUCCGUCGCCGGCACCAGCCGUGAGAGGAUGCUGACAGUUCAUACACAAUAUAGGGAAGAAUUGUCCAGCACGGUCACUGCACGACCACGUUCACCGCCUCCGCCUCCGCCACGCAAACCACUACCUCCAUCGCCUCCGCCCCCCAAUGGGUCUAAGGGGCCAAUCCCUUAAUAGACAUUCUCUGUAUUUCAUGUAGAGAUGCAUGUGCUAUACAUCUUACAUGUGUCCCACAUACGUAAUGUUAAUUCGCAGGGGGGGGGGAAGAAAUAAAUGAUUUCUCUUUAAUGUAUUAGUCAUCAAUAGGCAAGUAUCAACAUAUAAAUAACUACACACGGCAUAUUGUGGUGUUAGAAUAUAGAUUUUUCUGUAUUGGGUUUUUAUUUUCUAUAUAUGUGUGAUUAUAAUCAAAUCAUAUGAUCUUAUUUGUAUUGUUUUAACCUAUCAUCUUUUGUAUUAUUGUAAAGAGAUCAUCAAGAAAUAAGAGUACAAUGUAAGCGUAUGAGCAA